GACGAACGCUGGCGGCGUGCUUAACACAUGCAAGUCGAACGGAAAGGCCCCUUCGGGGGUACUCGAGUGGCGAACGGGUGAGUAACACGUGGGUGAUCUGCCCUGCACAUCGGGAUAAGCCUGGGAAACUGGGUCUAAUACCGGAUAGGACCACGGGAUGCAUGUUCUGUGGUGGAAAGCUUUUGCGGUGUGGGAUGGGCCCGCGGCCUAUCAGCUUGUUGGUGGGGUGAUGGCCUACCAAGGCGACGACGGGUAGCCGGCCUGGGAGGGUGUCCGGCCACACUGGGACUGGGAUACGGGCCAGACUCCUACGGGGGGCAGCAGUGGGGAAUAUUGCACAAUGGGCGCAAGCCUGAUGCAGAGACGCCGCGUGGGGGAUGACGGCCUUCGGGUUGUAAACCUCUUUCAGCAGGGACGAAGCGCAAGUGACGGUACCUGCAGAAGAAGCACCGGCCAACUACGUGCCAGCAGCCGCCGUAAUAC
rnacentral:rRNA from 1 species